rnacentral:rRNA from 1 species
GUCCACGCCGUAAACGAUGAGUGCUAGGCGGUGGGAGAUUGACCCUUUCACUGCCGUAGUUAACGCGUUAAGCACUCCGCCUGGGGAGUACGGUCGCAAGACUAAAACUCAAAGGAAUUGACGGGGGCCCGCACAAGCGGUGGAGCAUGUGGUUUAAUUCGACGCAACGCGCAAAACCUUACCUGGGUUAAAUCCACCGGAACCUUCCUGAAAGGGAGGGGUGCCCUUCGGGGAAUCGGUGAGAAGGUGCUGCAUGGCUGUCGU